GGAAGUUGUAAAAAAAGAAGAAAAAAAAAAAAUUGGUCCCCGAGAGAGAGAACAAACAUUCUAAGCCACUCUGACUCUUACAAACAGAAUCUCUGAUAACCUCACAGUGCCUCGGCUACAGGGUGGCAACAAAGGUAGCCGCCAACCAAUGGCUUUGACAGAAUGAGGCACCCCUUGGCAUGCCUGCUAGAGGCAAACAGAUCUCUCUAGCACUCAUCCAGGGACUGGGGAGGUCUGGGGAGGCUGGUUUGCUCCACUGCGCCCCCUCCCUUUUUUCUGCCUCGCAUUCAUGUCUCUCUCAUUUCAUUCCUGUGGAGCCAACUCUGAAGCUGUUGAAAGAGGAUUGACUAUUGCUCCAUCAGCCACCUGGCAGCCCGCAACCACGACCAGCUUUACUUAAACCCAUGAGUGGCUUCAAAAGGAAAAGCAGGGGAAAAGGGAAAGAAAAAAAAGAGAAAAAAGAGGUAGAUGGCAUGCAGAUGGUAGUCCACAGAAACCUCUCUUAUCAAAGUCACCCACAACCUACGUGAUGUUCUUCAUCCAGCCAGGCCUUGGAAACUGACUGCAGCACCGAGAUACAGAAGAACAGAACAGGUUCUGAAAUGAGCAACAACAGGGGGAUGGGGAAAAACUACCCUCCUCCAUUGCCUGCAGCCCAGAACAGCAGGUGUGCCUAUUUUCAGAGGAAAUAAUCAGAAAUGAAGGAAUCUGAGAGAUCAUCAACUGGCCAGCAUCCCCAUUUUACAGAUAUAGAAAUUGUGGCCCAUUUCCCAGCUUGCACUUUCUAAGCCCUCAACGGAUUGGAUGGUGUUACUCAGUCUACUGAUUCAAAUGCUAAUCUCUUCCAGAAAUAAUGUUUUACCAGCUAUCUGGGCAUCCCAGUCAAGUUGACACAUAAAAAGAUCCAUCACAACAUCCUUCCCUCCUACCUCACCUAAUGUAAACUUCAAAAUUAAAAAAUACUAUAUCAUAAAAUAAAGCUUUGGAAAUGACAGA
rnacentral:lncRNA from 1 species